rnacentral:tRNA from 1 species
UCCCUUGUAUCUCAAUUGGUAAAGAAUCUGCCUGCAUCAGGAGACCCAGGUUCGAUUCCUGGGUUGGGAA